ACCCUGGCCAAGUUCCAACCACUCGGCGGUGCUUUCCCUGGUACAAAAAAUCCCCCUGCCUGUAAGUCCCACGAUCAUGAGCCGAGUCGCAAUAUUCUUUGCGAUGACUUCAUUUAAGGCGCCAAAACGCAACGCCACCAACGUUGCCUCGUGUGUGUGUGCGUGUGUGUUGCAGCUCUGUGUGUGUGUGCUUUGGGCAGGUGUCGAAACAAUGUGUGGAGCGCAACUUAAUUAGAAUGUUGCCACAUUUGUAGCCAGCCAGUCAGCCCGGCCAAAUAAAAAUGUCAGAACAAGUUGAGGCGGCAAUUUGUCAACCGGCAACCGGCUGCCUAGACACGUGCCUCACCCAACCACCCGCAACCCCUUGGCCAAGU
rnacentral:lncRNA from 1 species